rnacentral:rRNA from 1 species
AACGAACGCUGGCGGCAUGCCUAACACAUGCAAGUCGAACGAGACCUUCGGGUCUAGUGGCGCACGGGUGCGUAACGCGUGGGAAUCUGCCCUUGGGUUCGGAAUAACAGUUGGAAACGACUGCUAAUACCGGAUGAUGACGUAAGUCCAAAGAUUUAUCGCCCAAGGAUGAGCCCGCGUAGGAUUAGCUAGUUGGUGAGGUAAAGGCUCACCAAGGCGACGAUCCUUAGCUGGUCUGAGAGGAUGAUCAGCCACACUGGGACUGAGACACGGCCCAGACCCCACCGGGAGGCGGCAGUGGGAAUAUUGGACAAUGGGCGAAAGCCUGAUCCAGCAAUGCCGCGUGAGUGAUGAAGGCCUUAGGGUUGUAAAGCUCUUUUACCCGGGAUGAUAAUGACAGUACCGGGAGAAUAAGCGCCGGCUAACUCCGUG